UACGUAGGGGGCAAGCGUUAUCCGGAUUUACUGGGUGUAAAGGGAGCGUAGACGGUAUGGCAAGUCUGAAGUGAAAGCCCAGGGCUUAACCCUGGGACUGCUUUGGAAACUGUUAGACUAGAGUGCUGGAGAGGUAAGUGGAAUUCCUAGUGUAGCGGUGAAAUGCGUAGAUAUUAGGAGGAACACCAGUGGCGAAGGCGGCUUACUGGACAGUAACUGACGUUGAGGCUCGAAAGCGUGGGGAUCAAACAGG
rnacentral:rRNA from 1 species